GACGAACGCUGGCGGCGUGCUUAACACAUGCAAGUCGAGCGGAAAGGCCCUUCGGGGUACUCGAGCGGCGAACGGGUGAGUAACACGUGAGUAACCUGCCCUCCACUCUGGGAUAAGCCCGGGAAACUGGGUCUAAUACCGGAUAUGACUCCCUGUCUCAUGGCGGGGGGUGGAAAGUUUUUUCGGUGGGGGAUGGACUCGCGGCCUAUCAGCUUGUUGGUGAGGUAAUGGCUUACCAAGGCGACGACGGGUAGCCGGCCUGAGAGGGCGACCGGCCACACUGGGACUGAGACACGGCCCAGACUCCUACGGGAGGCAGCAGUGGGGAAUAUUGCACAAUGGGGGAGACCCUGAUGCAGCGACGCCGCGUGCGGGAUGAAGGCCUU
rnacentral:rRNA from 1 species